GAUGAAGAACGUAGUGAAAUGCGAUAAGUAAUGUGAAUUGCAGAAUUCAGUGAAUCAUCGAAUCUUUGAACGCACCUUGCGCUCCUUGGUAUUCCAAGGAGCAUGCCUGUUUGAGUAUCAUUAAAUUAUCAACUGUGCCAAUUUGGUUACAGAUUGGAUGUGGGAGAUUCUUUUUGCAGGCCUUUGACUUCUCUUUGAGAAAAAAAAUAAAAGGUCGGCUCUCCUGAAAUGUAUUAGCAGUGCCUUUGUUGGUUCAUUAGGUGUGAUAAAUUGUCUACAUCUUCGCAUGAUACCUUCAUUUGUAAAGGUCAUAUUGCUUCUAAAUUGUCUUUGAUUGGACGCAAAACAUAUAUAAUGUUUGACAAACUUGAUCUCAAAUCAGGCAGGACUACCCGCUGAACUUAAGCAUAUCAAUAAGCGGAGA
rnacentral:misc_RNA from 1 species